AUUGAACGCUGGCGGCAGGCCUAACACAUGCAAGUCGAGCGGAUGAACCGUGCUUGCUUCGGGUUCCAGCGGCGGAAGGGUGUGUGAUGCCUAGGAAUCUGCUUCCCUGUGGGUUAGAACGUCCUCAGACGGCUGCUAAUACCACAUACUUCCUGCGGCUGCAAGUGGGGGAGCGUCGGAACUUAUCCGCUCAGGUGAAUUUAGGUCGGAUUAGCUAGUUGGUGGGUUGAAGGCCUACCUAGCCGACGAUCCGUAGCUGGUCUGAGAGGAUGAUCAGUCACACUGGAAGUGAGACACGGUCCAGACGCCUACGGGAGGCAGCAGUGGGGAAUAUUGGACAAUGGGCGGAAGCCUGAUACAGCCAUGCCGCGUGUGUGAAGAAGGCCUUGGGAUUGUAAAGCACUUUUAGUUGGGAGGAAGGGCAGUAGGUUAAUACCUUGCUGUUGUGACGGUACCAACAGAAGAAGCACCGGCUAACUUCGUG
rnacentral:rRNA from 1 species